rnacentral:rRNA from 1 species
AAAAAAAUUUAUGCUAAGUUGACAUAACGAAGUCCGAUUGCAUUGACAGCCAGGAUGUUUGCUUGGAAGCAGCCAUUCAUUUAAAGAGUGCGUAACAGCUCACUGGUCGAGCGAUUGGGCGUGGACGAUACUCGGGCAUUAAGCAUAAUACCGAAGCUUUGGAUUAUAUAGCAAUAUAUACUGGUAGGGGAGCAUUCUAACUGCGUUGAAGAAGAUGCGUAAGCUCUAUUGGAGCGGUUAGAAAAGCAAAUGUAGGCAUGAGUAACGAUAAGAAAGGCGAGAAACCUUUCCGCCGAUAGUCUAAGGUUUCCUGAACAACGAUAAUCGGUUCAGGGUCAGUCGGGUCCUAAGGCGAAGCCGAACGGCGUAGUCGAUGGAUAACUGGUUAAUAUUCCAGUACCUGUUCUGCUGCGAUGGGGUGACGAAGAAGUGAAAGCGCGGCGCACAUACGGAAUUGUGCGUUGAAGGUCGUAGGUAUAUCUUUGGUUGGCAAAUCCGCCAGAGAUGCUGAAAGCUGAUAGUAUGCUGAGUCGCAAGACAAGGCAAUAAGCGUGUAAUCCUGCUUCCAAGAAAAACCCCUAAGCUCCAGGCAUGAACAGCCCGUACCGCAAACCGACACAGGUAGACAAGUAGAAUAUACUAAGGCGCUCGAGUGAUCCGUGGCUAAGGAACUAGGCAAAUUAACCCCGUAACUUCGGGAAAAGGGGUACCCUACGCAAGUAGGGUCGCAGAGAAAUGGCGGUGGCGACUGUUUAUCAAAAACACAGGGCUAUGCGAAAACGAAAGUUGAUGUAUAUGGCCUGAAACCUGCCCGGUGCCGGAAGGUUAAGAGGAGAGGUUAGGAGCAAUCCAAAGCUUUGAAUCGAAGCCCCGGUAAACGGCGGCCGUAACGAUAACGGUCCUAAGGUAGCGAAAUUCCUUGUCGGGUAAGUUCCGACCUGCACGAAUGGUUUAACGAUCUCCGCUCUGUCUCAGCCACGAGCUCGGUGAAAUUGUGGUAUCAGUGAAGACGCUGAUUACCCGUCACGGGACGGAAAGACCCCAUGCACCUUUACUAUAGCUUAGCAUUGACUUCGGGUAAAUGAUGUGUAGCAUAGCUGGGAGGCUUUGAAGCAGUGGCGCCAGCCAUUGUGGAGCCAACACUGAAAUACCAGCCUUUAUUUAUUUGGAGUCUAACUCUUGCAAAAGAGGACAUUGCUUGGUGGGUAGUUUGACUGGGGUGGUCGCCUCCGAAAGGGUAUCGGAGGCUUUCAAAGGUUUUCUCAGUACGCUUGGUAACCGUACGUAGAGUGCAAUAGCAUAAGAAAGCUUGACUGUGAGGCCGACAAGCCGAGCAGGAUCGAAAGAUGGAUAUAGUG